UUACAAUCAGGUAGUGUGACAGCUGUCAGAUAUUGUUGGCAGGGCCCUCUAGACGAGGGUUGCAUGUCUCCGAAAAUGAAGGGGCAACAUACGUUUUUGAUACACACGUUUUUGCUGAUUAACACCCCCUCCCCUCUUUUUCCCUUUGGUUUUUAAAUGAACCUUCAAGUAUCUAAUGUAAAGUGCAGCGCAUAAGUACAGUAAAUCUCGAACACAUACUUUUUUUUCUGAAAUUCAAGUCAGAAAAAAAAAGUUUGACGUUUUUUGUUAAAGUAGGAAAACAUUUUCGGCAGGAUAACAAUGCUAAAAGCAGGUUGAUUGACUACCCUAAAAUAAGCCCUGAAAACUUCAAGAAUCGAAAUGGCUCUCUCUAAAUGACAUAGGUACGUGCAUUCCGUGCUCAUCAGGUAUGACGUUGGAAUUCGUGUGAUUCUACAGGGAUGAAUUGACCGUUUUGACGAAUACUAUAAUGCUAGUUUACCAACGACCCUGACGUUUCUCGGAAUACACGCAUUUCUCUCUGCUUCUGAGAAGCGCUGCUGUCGCUCUCCCUACGCUUUUGGUUCCUGAAGUUCCAAGAAUCAUCGGGAAAUCUUCGUCCAUCUUCGUCGAUGAUCAAAGCGAAGUGUGAGUGUGACGAGUUGUCGGUGUGUCUCUUCUUCUACCCGAUUGCAUUUUGGUUUGUGUAAAUAGCUCCUGAAUUUUCUUUGAUUUCCAUCUUUCUGAAGUCUCUAAUUCCUUGAGUCAUUCACCUGUUGAUUUCAGUGAACAUUUUCGUGUGAUUUCGCAGAGAAUCUCGAACGAUUUCAACAUGUCAAGCGAGAGCACUUCUUAUGAAGACUCGAAACGGAUGUUUUACGGCAAUCCAAUAGCGACGAUCCUGUUUUUUCAAGAUGUAGAGCAAAAGCGUAAACUGAAAUAUGGAGCCCAGUCCCUUGACGAGGAGAGAGAGAUACACGAGGAUCUGCUGAGGAAAUUAGCCGUUCUAGAGCAGGUAAGAAAUUAGAGAUCUUACUCUUACAUGGGUUUUAAGUCAACGCUCCUUCCUCACCAUAUAUGUCUUAGGUGUUCAGAAGUUAAUGCACAGUACUUUGGGGGUAGAUUCCAAGCCCAACUUAGACCUUUUUGUUCUACUCAUGAAAAAACUUUCUUCCGGGCUACAGCCCAACAAAGUGAUUGCUUUUUUCCAUCCCAAAAUUUGUCCAAA
rnacentral:lncRNA from 1 species